rnacentral:rRNA from 1 species
GAUCAUGGCUCAGGAUGAACGCUAGCUACAGGCUUAACACAUGCAAGUCGAGGGGAAACGACAUCGAAAGCUUGCUUCCGAUGGGCGUCGACCGGCGCACGGGUGAGUAACGCGUAUCCAACCUGCCCACCACUUGGGGGAUAACCUUGCGAAAGUAAGACUAAUACCCAAUGAUAUCUCUAGAAGACAUCUGAAAGAGAUUAAAGAUUUAUCGGUGAUGGAUGGGGAUGCGU